rnacentral:lncRNA from 1 species
GGCCGGUCACGGUACUUGAGAGGGAGGCCUACUUCUCAGUACCUUUGAUGAUGAUGAGUUGUAGAUGUGGUACAUACAUGUUAAGAUCUUUGACUGCAGUCGUUUACUUAUGAUGUCAUGAUUAUGAAAACUGCAUGCACAGAUUCAUUUACGCUAACUUUAUUUCUGUGUAUUGCUGAGAUGUGGCAAGCUUCAAACAUAUAGCUCUAAGAGCACCUUUCUUGAUUUUCGGCGUUUGCCNUUUCUUAUCUCAUGAACCACUCACGUUGUGACAUCUGAAGAUACGAGCAGAGGACGGAGGUAAUAUCGCCCAAGUACUACGAGAGUAAGCUAAGUUUAUCAGGUGGGCAUUAUUUUGAGUAUACAUAUUAUACGAGCUUUCUUAAAUGAUAUGAUACUUAUGAUUAUGAAUUGAGUUAAUGUUACGCUUGAAACUAAUUGACUUGCCGAGUUUUGUUAAUAAUGACUUGUGUGUUACCCUCUACUGAUGAGACGAAUUCGGUCCUGCCACAAGCGGGAUUUUGUGCACAGAGGUGACUGUGAGCCGUCUAUCGGGUCGGCCGGUCACGGUACUUGAGAGGGAGGCCUACUUCUCAGUACCUUUGAUGAUGAGUAGUGGAUGUGGUACAUACUUAAUGAAUAUUUAAACUGCGCAGUUACUUUUUUGUGAUGUUUAUGAUUUGCGAAAUUGCAUGCACAGGUUCUUCUCUAACUAAAACCCAUGUGUGUUGCUUAAUGUGGCAAGUUCAAUUUAUAGCUCUAAGAGCAAGCUUUCUUUUGUUUUUCGGCAUAUGUCCACUGAGUACUUUGUACUCAGCCCUGCAUGUAUUUCUAAAUGUGCAGGAUAAGCGAGGAUGGAGAAUGGUCUGGUGCUGGCGAGGAUUUUGUUCCGAUGUUAUCCUUUUACCGUAUUUAUAUUACAUACGGUAGCUUUUUGAUGUUGAUGUUUAUAUUUUGGACUUAGUCAAGAAGUAUACUCUCGGCUAUAUGUCUUCAUACAUAUAGUCUGUACACGUUUUGCUGCGAGACUCUGUAAAUUAUAAACCUUUAUAAAUUUUUAACUAUUUUCGCUUUGUAAACUUUAUCGAGAAUCCCUGUACUUUUGAACUUACGAAGCCGAUAAUAUUU